GUACACGAAAGGGCACACAUAAUGAUGACGAGUAGGGCGAGGCACGUGAAACCUUGUCUGAAUAUGGGGGGACCAUCCUCCAAGGCUAAAUACUCCUGACUGACCGAUAGUGAACCAGUACCGUGAGGGAAAGGCGAAAAGAACCCCUGUGAGGGGAGUGAAAUAGAUCCUGAAACCGCAUGCAUACAAGCAGUGGGAGCACCUUCGUGGUGUGACUGCGUACCUUUUGUAUAAUGGGUCAGCGACUUAUAUUCAGUAGCGAGGUUAACCGUAUAGGGGAGCCGUAGAGAAAUCGAGUCUUAAUAGGGCGUUUAGUUGCUGGGUAUAGACCCGAAACCAGGCGAUCUAUCCAUGAGCAGGUUGAAGGUUGGGUAACACUAACUGGAGGACCGAACCCACUGUCGUUGAAAAGCCAGGGGAUGACUUGUGGAUAGGGGUGAAAGGCUAAUCAAGCCUGGUGAUAGCUGGUUCUCCCCGAAAGCUAUUUAGGUAGCGCCUCGGACGAAUACCAUAGGGGGUAGAGCACUGUUUCGGCUAGGGGGUCAUCCCGACUUACCAAACCGAUGCAAACUCCGAAUACCUAUGAGUACUAUCCGGGAGACAGACUGCGGGUGCUAACGUCCGUAGUCAAGAGGAAAACAAUCCAGACCGCCAGCUAAGGCCCCAAAAUCAUAGUUAAGUGGGAAACGAUGUGGGAAGGCAUAGACAGCUAGGAGGUUGGCUUAGAAGCAGCCACCCUUUAAAGAAAGCGUAAUAGCUCACUAGUCGAGUCGGCCUGCGCGGAAGAUGUAACGGGGCUAAAACUAUGUGCCGAAGCUGCGGAUGUAUACUUUGUAUACGUGGUAGGGGAGCGUUCUGUAAGCCGAUGAAGGUGUGUUGAGAAGCAUGCUGGAGGUAUCAGAAGUGCGAAUGCUGACGUGAGUAACGACAAAACGGGUGAAAAACCCGUUCGCCGAAAGACCAAGGGUUCCAGUCCAACGUUAAUCGGGGCUGGGUGAGUCGACCCCUAAGGCGAGGCCGAAAGGCGUAGUCGAUGGGAAAAUGGUUAAUAUUCCAUUACUUCUGUGUAAUGCGAUGAGAGGACGGAGAAGGCUAAAUCAGCCUGGCGUUGGUUGUCCAGGUGAAAGGAUGUAGGCAUGUAUCUUAGGCAAAUCCGGGGUACUCUAUGCUGAGAUCUGAUAGCAAGCUGUACUUGUACAGCGAAGUGGUUGAUGCCAUGCUUCCAGGAAAAGUCUCUAAGCUUCAGUUACACAGGAAUCGUACCCGAAACCGACACAGGUGGUCAGGUCGAGUAGACCAAGGCGCUUGAGAGAACUCUGCUGAAGGAACUAGGCAAAAUGGUACCGUAACUUCGGGAGAAGGUACGCUGUUGUUGGUGAUGGAACUCGCUUCCUGAGCUGACGACAGCCGCAGAAACCAGGCCGCUGCAACUGUUUAUUAAAAACAUAGCACUCUGCAAACACGAAAGUGGACGUAUAGGGUGUGAUGCCUGCCCGGUGCUGGAAGGUUAAUUGAUGGGGUUAGCGUAAGCGAAGCUCUUGAUCGAAGCCCCAGUAAACGGCGGCCGUAACUAUAACGGUCCUAAGGUAGCGAAAUUCCUUGUCGGGUAAGUUCCGACCUGCACGAAUGGCAUAAUGAUGGCGGCGCUGUCUCCAGCAGAGGCUCAGUGAAAUCGAAAUCGCUGUGAAGAUGCAGUGUACCCGCGGCUAGACGGAAAGACCCCGUGAACCUUUACUGCAGCUUGACACUGAACUUUGACCUUACUUGUGUAGGAUAGGUGGGAGGCUUU
rnacentral:rRNA from 1 species